UACGGAGGGGGCUAGCGUUGUUCGGAAUUACUGGGCGUAAAGCGCACGUAGGCGGCUUUGCAAGUCAGAGGUGAAAGCCCGGGGCUCAACCCCGGAAUAGCCUUUGAGACUGCAUCGCUAGAAUUGUGGAGAGGUAAGUGGAAUUCCGAGUGUAGAGGUGAAAUUCGUAGAUAUUCGGAAGAACACCAGUGGCGAAGGCGACUUACUGGACACAUAUUGACGCUGAGGUGCGAAAGCGUGGGGAGCAAACAGG
rnacentral:rRNA from 1 species